CCUGGUGGCUCAGUGGUAAAGAAUCUGCCUGCCAAGCAGGAGACCCAGGUUCAAUCCCCGGGUCAGGA
rnacentral:tRNA from 1 species